AACCUCCGCAAUGUGAGAAAUCGCGACGGGGGGAUCCCAAGUGCCAUUCUUAACGGGAUGGCUUUUCAUUAGUGUAAAGAGCUUUUGGAAUAAGAGCUGGGCAAGACCGGUGCCAGCCGCCGCGGUAACACCGGCAGCUCUAGUGGUAACAAUUUUUAUUGGGCCUAAAGCGUCCGUAGCCGGUUUAAUAAGUCUCUGGUGAAAUCCUGUAGCUUAACUGUGGGAAUUGCUGGAGAUACUAUUAGACUUGAGACCGGGAGAGGUUAGAGGUACUCCCAGGGUAGAGGUGAAAUUCUGUAAUCCUGGGAGGACCGCCUGUUGCGAAGGCGUCUAACUGGAACGGUUCUGACGGUGAGGGACGAAAGUUAGGGGCGCGAACCGGAUUAGAUACCCGGGUAGUCCUAACCGUAAACGAUGCGGACUUGGUGUUGGGUGGCUUUGAGCUGCUCCAGUGCCGAAGGGAAGCUGUUAAGUCCGCCGCCUGGGAAGUACGGUCGCAAGACUGAAACUUAAAGGAAUU
rnacentral:rRNA from 1 species